AACGAACGCUGGCGGCAGGCUUAGCACAUGCAAGUCGAGCGCCCCGCAAGGGGAGCGGCAGACGGGUGAGUAACGCGUGGGAAUCUACCUUUUGCUGCGGAAUAACGCAGGGAAACUUGUGCUAAUACCGUAUGUGCCCUUCGGGGGAAAGAUUUAUCGGCAAAGGAUGAGCCCGCGUUGGAUUAGCUAGUUGGUGGGGUAAAAGCCUACCAAGGCGACGAUCCAUAGCUGGUCUGAGAGGAUGAUCAGCCACAUUGGGACUGAGACACGGCCCAAACUCCUACGGGAGGCAGCAGUGGGGAAUAUUGGACAAUUGGCGCAAGCCUGAUCCAGCCAUGCCGCGUGAGUGAUGAAGGCCUUAGGGUUGUAAAGCUCUUUCACCGGUGAAGAUAAUGACGGUAACCGGAGAAGAAGCCCCGGCUAACUUCGUGCCAGCCGCCGCAGUAA
rnacentral:rRNA from 1 species